AUCAGUAUAGGCGAAUAGGCCCGAGUCGCAUGUCCCGGGCGGCAUGCGACCGUGGACAUUCGUUAAUACGGAUGCUGACACAGGGAGGUCGUGACAAGAAUAACAGUACGUGGCUUAAUUAUGGUAAUUGAAUGWCGUGAAUUGAUCAUCUUCCAGAGUAUUAAGUGGAGGGCAAGUGUGGUACCAGCAGCUGCGGUAGUUCCAGCUCCAAUAGCGUAUAUUAAAAUUGUUGCAGUUAAAAAGCUCGUAGUUGAUUUCUGCUACAUUGCAUCUUCUGUGUGAUGAGUUGGUGUAUUGUGGCUUAUUUCGGAUGAUAGUUGUAUUAUCCGGAUGAGUGCUUUGAGAAAAUUAGAGUGCUCAAAGCAGGCUUUCACCUUGUAUAGUUUAGCAUGGAAUAAUAAAGUAGGACUUUGGUUGUAUUCUGUUGGUUUUAGGUACCAAAGUAAUGGUUAAUAUGAUCAGUUCACAGRGAGGUAGUCACAAGAUAUCACUAUGCGGGGCUUAAUGUCKUGUAAUUGGAGUGAUGGGAAUUUAAAUCUCUUCCAGAGUCUCAAUUAGAGGGCAUGUCUGGUGCCCGCAGCCGCGGUAAUUCCAGCUCCAAUAGCGUAUAUUAAAAUUGUUGCAGUUAAAAAGUCUGGUAGUUGAAUUUCUGCCCCCCCCUCUUUGCCCCUAGACGGGCGUGUGCGCCGCGGCUUUUUCGGAUUAUGCUUGCAUUUUCSGAGUGUUACUUUGAGAAAAUUAGAGUGCUCAAAGCAGGCUUUUGCCUUGAAUAGUUUAGCAUGGAAUAAUAAAGUAGGACUUUGGUUCUAUUUUGUUGGUUUUAGGUACCAAAGUAAUGGUUAAUAGGAACA
rnacentral:rRNA from 1 species